ensembl:lncRNA
CAGACAGUGGUGAAAAAGAAAGAGAAGGUCUCAGUUUUUGCCCUCGACGCUGACACUGUUCUCACAGCUUUCAGUGGAGGCUACAGGGGAGGUUUCAGAGGCCAAAAGAGAGGGAGAGGAAUGCGUAGGGGAAGAGCAAGAGGUAGAGACAGGCCUAGACACACACCAAGCAGUGGUUUUAGUACUAUAUGCUGGAGGUGUGGAAAAGAGGGACAUUUUGUACGUGACUGUAAGAAACAAAGAAGCAGUUCAGAAUAGGAAGAACAUAAUAAUCCCUCACCAAGUAAAAAAUUAGAGAUCCAAGUAUAAGUUUAAAAAGGGCUGGAUACAGACCCAACUGAAUACAUAUAAAUGCAAGAGGAAUAAAGUUAAAUAAAACAACUGUAAUGUAUUCAAAUUGAUAAAAGCAAGGAUAACAACCUGUAAACUGGUAUGAACAAUGAAACAUAGUUAGGAUGAAGACCGUGCCCAGACUGAAUAGAACGAAAGAAAAUACAUAACUCACACAAACACAUAUUAAAUGAAAUAGAGAGAUGCAUAAGGUAUAUUAAGGCUGUGUCAUUGUUCAGCCAAGGAAAAUGUGUGAAAAGGAAAAUGUCUCCAGCUUGGGAAGGGGUGAGACUGCAGCUCACCCUCAGCCCUUGGUGGACACAAAUAAAAUAUAAAUAAAAUAUUGUAAUAUACUAUUGCUGUUAUAUAAAAAGAUAAUAACAUUAAUAAUGAAAUAAUAUUAAUAUGAAGAGGCACCUCAGUCAGUUGUGAUGUGAGGUGGAUAAUUGUUAGAAGUAGUCUGCAUCAAGCUUAAGGUUGCUCAAAUUCAGUAUAAUGACAUAUGAAAUGAAGAAAAUAAAGAAAAUAUGUAAACUACUUAAGUGCAUAGAGGCACUUGACCUGCUCGAAAACCUGUCAUCCUAGAUGAGACAUUGCUGAAAUAUAGAGCACACCUAUACUAACAACUAAAAACCCUGUAUACAACAGCUAAAGCUACACAAUUGAGAAGCUGAAUUAAAUAUAUGGUCACUGCUAAGCUGAUGAGCAGGAGCUGCAUAAGAACACAUCAGAGGGAGGGAAACAGCUAUUAAAGCUCAAACAUGAAGCUAUCUGUGGGCUCAGUUUUUUGUUUUUUUUUUCCUCAUGCUUCUGAUUUGUCUUUGGCAGCAGCCUUUUUGCAUCCUGACUCGUGUGUAAAGUGUUCAAGCCAUCGGUAACUUGUUUUUUGUUUUGUUUUGUUUUUUGUUUUGUUGGGUUGAAAAAUGAAUAAAUUUGUGAUCAUACUUGUGGAUCACAGUAACACAUAAUGAUUAGGCAUAUGAUUUACUAAUGCAGAUAUAAUAACUUUAUUCUAAAAUUCAAGGAGAACAAACAAGAACAACAUCUUCAGUUGUGUAUUGUUGUUGUUCUCUGUGUAGUGUGCUGAGUUUUGUUUUUGUUUCUUUUGUUUUUUGAAAUGUUGCUUGAGUGAUGAGUACUGUAACUUCUGUUCAGAGCCAGCUGAGAGCUGGGUUGUCUGUUUUGUUUUAGGUGACAAGCCAGAAAAGUUAAAACUUAGUUUCUUGUUUUGAAAAAGAAAAAAGGGAAAAAAAGGGAGGUUUUGUGUUUCUCAGCCAAGAACAACUACAAUUUAAUUUUAUGUUUUUGAGAAAGGAGAAUUUAUAACAAUAAUAAUAAUAAAACAAAGAGUGAUGUUUUGCUUAAGUGUUGAAGCAGGCUAAUACUGCAACAUAUAAAUAAACUCCAAUUAUGGAGACCUGAAGUCACAUGCUUAGGGCACACCCUCAGGUGAAGGCAGAAAGCUACUAAACAAAGAAAAGAAGCUAUAGAAAAUGCGCCACAGCCACAAACUAAGCAUUCAUAUUCUUUCUAACUCUUAGUGAGCCUGAGUUAUGACCUUGGCUCCCUGUUUUUCUGCCUCCACCAAAGGUGGGGGUGAAGCUCCCGUGGCAUGUGCUCUG